rnacentral:rRNA from 1 species
GAAGUAAAAGUUGUAACAAGGUUUCCGUUGGUGAACCAGCGGAGGGAUCAUUGGUGGAACGCGCCCCAGGCGCACCCAGAAACCCUUUGUGAACUUAUACCUUACUGUUGCCUCGGCGCAUGCCGGCCCCCAGGGGCCCCUCGGAGACGAGGAGCAGGCACGCCGGCGGCCAAGUUAACUCUUGUUUUUACACUGAAACUCUGAGAAAAAAAAAAAAAAUGAAUCAAAAUUUUCAACAACGGAUCUUUUGGUUCUGGCUUCAAUAAAAAACGCACCAAAAUGCGAUAAGUAAUGGGAAUUGCAAAAUUCAGGGAAUCAUCAAAUCUUUAAACGCACUUUGCGCCCUCCGGUUUUCCGGAGGGCAUGCCUGUUCAAGCGUCUUUUCACCCCUCAAGCACUGUUUGGGGUUGGGGCACUGCUUCUCUCGGGGAAAGCAGGCCCUGAAAUUCAGGGGCAAGCUCGCCGGGACCCCAAGCGCAGUAUUUAAACCCUCGCUCUGGAAGGCCCUGGGGGGGCCCUGCCGUUAAACCCCCAACUCUUGAAAAUUUGACCUCGAAUCAGGUAGAAAUACCCGCUAAAUUUA